rnacentral:snRNA from 1 species
GUGCUCACUUUGGCAGCAUAUAUACUAAAAUUGGAAUGAUACAGAUAAGAUUAGCAAGGCCUAUGCAAGGAUGACAGGCAAAUUCGUGAAGCAUUUCAUUAUUAA